rnacentral:rRNA from 1 species
AUUGAACGCUGGCGGCAUGCCUUACACAUGCAAGUCGAACGGUAACAGGUCCUCGGAUGCUGACGAGUGGCGAACGGGUGAGUAAUACAUCGGAACGUGCCCGAUCGUGGGGGAUAACGAAGCGAAAGCUUUGCUAAUACCGCAUAAGAUCUACGGAUGAAAGCAGGGGACCGCAAGGCCUUGCGCGAACGGAGCGGCCGAUGGCAGAUUAGGUAGUUGGGGGGAUAAAAGCUUACCAAGCCGACGAUCUGUAGCUGGUCUGAGAGGACGACCAGCCACACUGGGACUGAGACACGGCCCAGACUCCUACGGGAGGCAGCAGUGGGGAAUUUUGGACAAUGGGCGAAAGCCUGAUCCAGCCAUGCCGCGUGCAGGAUGAAGGCCUUCGGGUUGUAAACUGCUUUUGUACGGAACGAAAAGACUCUUUCUAAUAAAGAGGGUCCAUGACGGUACCGUAAGAAUAAGCACCGGCUAACUACGUGCCAGCAGCCGCAGUAAUAC